UACGUAGGGGGCAAGCGUUGUCCGGAAUUAUUGGGCGUAAAGAGCGCGUAGGCGGUCCGAUAAGUCGGCUGUGAAAGUCAGGGGCUCAACCCUUGAAAGCCGGCCGAUACUGUCGGACUAGAGUCCGGAAGAGGCAAGUGGAAUUCCCGGUGUAGCGGUGAAAUGCGCAGAUAUCGGGAGGAACGCCGGAGGCGAAAGCGAGUGACUGGCGCGUUCCUGACGCUGAGGUGCGAAAGCUAGGGGAGCAAACAGG
rnacentral:rRNA from 1 species